CAAACAAUGCUUGUUUGGGCUGUAGCUGCCAGCCAGUAGAGUGUGGAGUAUGGGGUUGGCCACAGUGAAAUUCCCUGAAGAUUGCUGGACCGGUACUGCCUUCCUGACAGAGGCAUUUUAACCACUGAACAAAGAGUUACAUUAAAAGUUUGAGAUAAAACUUGCUAGGAGCAUCCAAAUACCAAAGAGCAAGAUGGAAAUUCCAUGAAGAAAGAAAGAAAAUGCCUGUGUCAGUCAAGACAGUAUUUGGACAUUAUUGAAGAUGGAACUAAAACAAUUAAGCAUGAGAAUUGAAAUUUAAACCCUUAGAGGAUAUGACUCUCCGUAUUGAUAAUAUUUACCAGCACAUUCUCUUGCUAUUUAAUCCCCUGAAGAAACGAACAUUUAAUUAAAUUCAUAAGCUAGCCAGUUACAGUGUCAACAAAUUAGGGACUUAAAAUAACCCACAAAGAAUGCACUGCAAGUCUUAGAACAGUCAUUUUGAUUUCCAAUACAGAAUUACAGACAGUUCUUGGUCUUAUGAUACAUAUGGUUCCUGAAAACAACUUCUUAAUAUGAACUGUAAAAUGGAGAGAUUUUUCUCAUAGGAACAAUGUUGUAUAUGGGGGUUUGUUUUUUUAAAGUUGUCAGGUACUCUAUUUUUCAGAUGUAUUGCAAGCUCUCUCUGGCAGGAAUAGUGUCUUCCUCUAUUGCAGUCUGUCAAGUGGUCAGUCCAAUACUCUACAUAAAGUAGGAACUCAAUAGGUAUUAUUGAUUGAGUGUAACCUACAUUAUCCAGAAUUGUGUACUGAACCAAUUAUAGAUGAGUAAUAUAGCAUCAAUGAUAUAUUUCACUUGACAUAGAGGUGCCACAGUAUGCUAGCCUGCUUUCGUUUCAUUGGAAAUCAAAA